AGUGGUAGCUUAAUGGUUAAGGCUUUGCCCUGUAAAGCUAAAGGUAGUGAGUUCAAAUCCCAGUGCUACUA